CUUUUCCAGACGUCAAAACACUCCAUACCUGGAGCAAAGAGAGAGCUACUUCAAUUGUGCACUCUAGCUCAAAAGACUGUUGAUUCAGCAAGCAAGAAACCAAGAAAACAAAAGAGAAUACUCUGUAAAGUUAUGAGUUUGAUCUUCUCCACACAUUCACCACUACCACUCAAUCAAGUCAAUAAAUGUUUGUUUCCUAACUGGCAGCAUAGUGAUUAGAUGGUAAUAAUGGAGAUUGUGCUUCCUCCUUACUCUUAGACUGGUGGUGAUGGAGUUGCGGAUUCUGGUAGCAUUAUCAUCAUUCGUCAUUUGAAUUGAGUAUGGUUAUGGUUAUGGUUCUGAUGGCAAUGGCAUUAUCUCCUGGAUUGAAAAAUGCAUGAACUAGAAUCAACAGCGUGUAAAAUGGGGGGAUUCCGAGUGGCAGCCAUGACCCUGGACGGACCUGGAGCACUCAGCAGUGACGCAUGAUAGCCUUUUGUAGGUCUUGGAUGUCAAGGAAUCAAAAAGAGGAUUUGUCUGGGCAUGACAGCAUAUACAGCACAAGGCUGAACCGGAAGCCAGGAGAGUGAACUACCUGUGUUGAGAAUUCGAUCAAGCUUUCCCUUUAUGACAAAAGGAGCUCAGGCUUGUAAGGGCUUGGAUCUUGAUUUUAAUUUUGAUUCAAGAUCAAAAAAAUGGGAAAGAAAUUGCUACUGCUCUUCAAUUCUCACUUAAGCCGGCCUGUCAGCUUCUUAAGCCAAGUUUCUUUUACCUAGUUCACCAAGAUCAGACCACAUCAAACGAGCUAUAGAUCAUACGAACUGUUUGAUUAAUCAGUCGUAAUUUGACAUUGCAAAUUAACCAGUACAAAUAUGGCAUAUAGUUGAUGUAUCAAAUCGAAAACAAAAACAAAAAUGCAAUCUGCAUAGAGCUUUCAACUCUGUAUAAAAGA